UACGGAGGGUGCGAGCGUUGUCCGGAAUCAUUGGGCGUAAAGGGCGCGUAGGUGGCCCGGUCAGUCCGUGGUGAAAGCGCGGGGCUCAACCCUGCGUCGGCCAUGGAUACUGCCGCGGCUCGAGCACUGUAGAGGCAGGCGGAAUUCCGGGUGUAGCGGUGGAAUGCGUAGAGAUCCGGAAGAACACCGGUGGCGAAGGCGGCCUUCUGGGCAGUUUAGCUGACACUGAGGCGCGACAGCGUGGGGAGCAAACAGG
rnacentral:rRNA from 1 species